rnacentral:lncRNA from 1 species
UUUAGUACAUUUUGCUAGCAAGUACAAUAAGUAUUCCCGAUAUCUCGGCCGAGAAGUCACUUAGGGAGCUGCAUUCGUUCCAGUUGCCAGACAUGAUGAAGAUAUCUGCAUUACUAGUCUUCAGCGGUGCUGACUGCCGCUUUGGCCAUGCCAACUGACCGAGAACCGGCACUUGAAACCCGGCAUCGACUUGUCCGACGUGCCCGGCGUAAGUAAUCCCACCACAGACACCCAUCCAUAUCACCUUCAGGGAGUCAA